CACCACUCUGCAGAUCCACACAACAGACACCGUGAUCUGAACAGGUGGAGCACUGAAACCUCCGAGCUAACACCUGAUCAAAUAUUACCUCCAAGCAAACAAUGUAAAGCUUUACAUUUUACAACGGACAAACCAAACUCUGUUAAUGUCAGCUGUUUCCUGCCCCUUCCCUGUGGGGGCGUGGCAUCGUUGUCCCUCCUCUGGUCCUGAUUCUCAACCUGCACACCUGAAGCCACUCUGCUAGUCAACCCUGGUUCUUCACCUGCUUUCAGGCGAUCUAUCAUCCUUCACCUCCCUCUGUCAGCGCCCUCUGGAUCUCUUCCACCACAACAAUUACACCAAACAAUAACUGUCUCGAACAUUCAGAUUGGUUGUGUGUCUGCUCCUGAGGUCCUCCCUGUUGUUCUUAACAAACACUGGCUUCAUUCCCAGGUCAUCAGAUACAGAUGCACAGAAGACAACAACCCUCCCUGACAAUGGGUCAUGAAUCAGGAAACUGUGCUAAGAUAAACUGAGGAAUAUGGUUUCAUUUGGUUCAACUUCCUGCUUGGAUUGAGGUGAGAUUUUGGAUGAUAUUGUGAUUUUUAAAAUGCAUGGUGCUGUACAGAAGGAAGAAUGAGUCGGAUCCUCUUCAGUAGCCUCAUUUCUCAUUGAUCGGCUCCAUAUGAAAACAACAUUAACUCUAACGAACAUUAACUCUAACUAACCGACACUAACAUCACUAACGAACAUUAACUCUAACAAACAUUAACUCUAACUAACCAACACUAACGAACAUUAACACUAACCAACACAAGCUUUAUGAAAGCUGUAUGAUACUGAGGUCAAACUAAAAUAUGUGCCUGAGCUAAACACAUCGUGUGUGAAUUAGAUUAAAAUGUUUGUGGGAACUCUAAAUGUCAUAAUCAGAUAAUCAGAGGAGCUUCCAGCCGGCACAGAGGAGUUAUUGAUUCAUUCAGACUGAAGCUGCACUUUGUCCUUCAACCAUGUGCUUGUUGAUUAUCAGUUAUUAGUGACUGAUUCUGACUCCUCUGUGAAUAUAUAUUCACAAUGUAUUUCCUGUCUGUCUCUCUGAGCGUGUCUCUGAAUGUGUUUGCCCCCGGGGCUGAUGGGAGUUGGAGUCUUCAGUGGGGACACAAAGCGUCUUUGUGAGCUUCCUGUUUUCUCCAGCAGACUGUUGUCCGUGUGACCGAGUGGUGAUCGACUGAAACAACAACGAUGUCUUUCACCAUCACAUUCCUCGACAGUCACAUGAACGAUUCAAACACUCAGAGACUCAAACUGCUGACGGACGAACGAGGUUCAGUACACACAGAAACCUGGACAGGUGAGCAGCUGAAGAUGCUCCAACAAACUUCUGUCGACUUCACUUAAUCAAUAUUAACACAAAGGAAUCGAUAGUUUAGUUCAGUGAUCGUCAGAUCAUAUCUAUCGUAUAUGAACAUAUACUGUAUAUAUGUCUGUAUAAGCCUUUAUACGUAACUAACAUUGUAAUGUUUGUAUAAAUAAUAACAACAUAAAUAGUUAUUUACGGUAUGAAUUAACAUUUUUAGUUCAUUGUCCAAAAUAUUUGUAAAUUAAUUCAUUAUUUAAAAUGUUUUUAUGACACAGAUAUUAGUGACAUCAUAAAAUCAACUUUUUACCAAAACACAUAAAGCUUUCAUAAAAGUUUCUAUUUUUUGUUCAUUUUGGUGUCAAUAUCUGAGUUUCACACCUGGUUUGAAUAACACAAACUAAUAAGAAUAAAAAGAAUAAAUAAUAUAAUAAUAAAUAUAUUUUUUUCUCUGAA